rnacentral:rRNA from 1 species
CCUGGCUCAGGAUGAACGCUGGCGGCGUGCUUAACACAUGCAAGUCGAACGAUGAACCUCACUUGUGGGGGGAUUAGUGGCGAACGGGUGAGUAACACGUGAGUAACCUGCCCUUGACUCUGGGAUAAGCCUGGGAAACUGGGUCUAAUACCGGAUAUGACUGAUCAUCGCAUGGUGGUUGGUGGAAAGCUUUUGCGGUUUUGGAUGGACUCGCGGCCUAUCAGCUUGUUGGUGGGGUAAUGGCCUACCAAGGCGACGACGGGUAGCCGGCCUGAGAGGGUGACCGGCCACACUGGGACUGAGACACGGCCCAGACUCCUACGGGAGGCAGCAGUGGGGAAUAUUGCACAAUGGGCGGAAGCCUGAUGCAGCGACGCCGCGUGAGGGAUGACGGCCUUCGGGUUGUAAACCUCUUUCAGUAGGGAAGAAGCGUAAGUGACGGACCUGCAGAAGAGCGCCGCA